rnacentral:rRNA from 1 species
CCGGACCGGCGCACGGGUGAGUAACGCGUAUGCAACCUGCCCGUUUCAGCGGGAUAACCCGGAGAAAUCCGGCCUAAUACCGCAUGUGGCCGAGGGGAGGCAUCUUCUUUUCGGCCAAAGGAGGCGACUCCGGAGACGGAUGGGCAUGCGUGACAUUAGCUUGUUGGCGGGGUAACGGCCCACCAAGGCGACGAUGUCUAGGGGUUCUGAGAGGAAGGUCCCCCACACUGGUACUGAGACACGGACCAGACUCCUACGGGAGGCAGCAG